rnacentral:lncRNA from 1 species
UUUUUUAAAAAUCACCAAUUUCUUCGGUUAUGGAAUUAUUGCAGUUUCUGUAGUUAAGGCCAAAACUAAUUAAUUCAUCGCCCAUCAACUUAAUCGGUCAUUAGCCACAACUCAUCAUCAGCUACAGAGAUGGAUGGGUAAGGAAGGUAUGGCCGACAAAUUUCAAAACAUCUAGGUUCAACUUCUAAUCUUCUAUUAUGGUUAUGGAGAAAAUAUGACACGUAAAUAUAAGAUGUGAUAGUUCUAAAAUUCUAAUAGAAAAUAUAGUUUUUGCAUUUGUGAAAAUAGUGUUUUGAAUUUCCUCUAAAAUUAUAAUAUGCCUCUUUUUUUUCCUUUCUCUUAAUGAAAUGGGACCGAAGAAUUCGAUGCAGACUCGUACGUCUCUAUUGGAAGGAUGAUAUUUUAUAUUUGUUAAUUGGGAAAAAAUGAUAACCUCACGCAAUAUACGAGAUUUUUUUCUUUCAACUUUGAUCAUGAAGAUCGAGAGCCAAGUGGCCCAAGUCGUACGUACACCUGGAACUAUAUUAACGUAUUUGAAUUUGUCAUGAAAAUUUUGAAAAGACUCUCUAUCUACGUACACGUGACUUGACUUAUUUGAAGACCUAAUAACAUAUAUUAUAUAUAUGGUUAAAGUCAGAAAAAAAUACUUAAAAUUAUGUCGGAGCUUAUGAUAACUUUCUUUUGAUUAGUUAGACAUAAUCCACUGUAAAAUACGAGAACUAAUUAAACCUCUGAACUCUUUGGAAAUGAAGUGUAGGUAGUAUUGAUCAAAACGAAAGUAAAAUUGGGAGGGGGCAAUUAGAGAGGUCCCUCACUAAAAUAAUAAUGCAUAGAAGCGAUUUCAAGAGACCUUUGUAAUUAGGACAGACCACAGCACAUACCGCUGUGUUUGCUCUUGAUACCCCCUCUCCCCCUUCCCACUUGUCCUCAUGGACCCCUUUUGCCUUCAUUCCUAUCAAUUAUUUUCCAAUUAUUAGUUCUUUUUUCUUUCUUUCUUUUUUAAGUUUUCUACUCAUACAAUACAUUACUUUUCGGGAUCAAUAUUGACAUUAUGUUGUUUUUUAAAAAAAAAAUGUUUAAAUAGUAGUAAAUAUAUGCUAAUAAAUUUC